AUUGAACGCUGGCGGCAUGCUUUACACAUGCAAGUCGAACGGUAACAGGCCUUCGGGCGCUGACGAGUGGCGAACGGGUGAGUAAUGCAUCGGAACGUGCCCAGUCGUGGGGGAUAACUGCUCGAAAGAGCAGCUAAUACCGCAUACGAUCUGCGGAUGAAAGCGGGGGGCCUUCGGGCCUCGCGCGAUUGGAGCGGCCGACGUCAGAUUAGGUAGUUGGUGGGGUAAAGGCUCACCAAGCCAACGAUCUGUAGCUGGUCUGAGAGGACGACCAGCCACACUGGGACGGAGACACGGCCCAGACUCCUACGGGAGGCAGCAGUGGGGAAUUUUGGACAAUGGGCGCAAGCCUGAUCCAGCAAUGCCGCGUGCAGGAAGAAGGCCUUCGGGUUGUAAACUGCUUUUGUACGGAACGAAACGGUCUGGGUUAAUACCCUGGGCUAAUGACGGUACCGUAAGAAUAAGCACCGGCUAACUACGUGCCAGCAGCCGCCGUAA
rnacentral:rRNA from 1 species